rnacentral:tRNA from 1 species
GCGGGUAUGAUGGAAUUGGCAGACAUGCGAGAUUUAGGUUCUCGUGCUUUGGCGUUGGGGUUCGAGUCCCCAUACCCGCACCA